rnacentral:rRNA from 1 species
UAUAGGACGGGCGGCGUGCUUAACACAUGCAGUCGAGCGGAAGGCCCUUCGGGGUACUCGAGCGGCGAACGGGUGAGUAACACGUGAGCAACCUGCCCUAGGCUUUGGGAUAACCCUCGGAAACGGGGGCUAAUACCGAAUAUGACCUCCGAUCGCAUGGUUGGUGGUGGAAAGUUUUUCGGCCUGGGAUGGGCUCGCGGCCUAUCAGCUUGUUGGUGGGGUGAUGGCCUACCAAGGCGACGACGGGUAGCCGGCCUGAGAGGGCGACCGGCCACACUGGGACUGAGACACGGCCCAGACUCCUACGGGAGGCAGCAGUGGGGAAUAUUGCACAAUGGGCGGAAGCCUGAUGCAGCGACGCCGCGUGAGGGAUGACGGCCUUCGGGUUGUAAACCUCUUUCAGCAGGGACGAAGCGAAAGUGACGGUACCUGCAGAAGAAGCGCCGGCCAACUACGUGCCAGCAGCCGCGGUAAGACGUAGGGCGCGAGCGUUGUCCGGAUUUAUUGGGCGUAAAGAGCUCGUAGGCGGCUUGUCGCGUCGACUGUGAAAACCCGCAGCUCAACUGCGGGCCUGCAGUCGAUACGGGCAGGCUAGAGUUCGGUAGGGGAGACUGGAAUUCCUGGUGUAGCGGUGAAAUGCGCAGAUAUCAGGAGGAACACCGGUGGCGAAGGCGGGUCUCUGGGCCGAUACUGACGCUGAGGAGCGAAAGCGUGGGGGAGCGAACAGGAUUAGAUACCCUGGUAGUCCACGCUGUAAACGUUGGGCGCUAGGUGUGGGGGGGGCCUCUCCGGUUCCCUGUGCCGCAGCUAACGCAUUAAGCGCCCCCGCCUGGGGGAGUAC